UUAUUUGCGCGCUAUACCUCAGUGAGUGUAAUUUUCUAUGCCGAUUAGACAGAUUUAGUUCAGAUUAAGAGAGACUAGGUAACGCUGGAUUUUAAUCCAGGAGGAGUGAGGUGAAAUGAGGCUUUACAGAGGCCAGAAUGAAAUAUCAUCUCUGCUCCACAUUCCAACCAAAGUGAGGAGAAAAUACUUGCACAUUAUCAUCUCAACUCGCAUUUGCCAAGCCUCAACGCCAAAGACAAGCUGCUCUGGCAGACACAGCCCCGGUCAGACCCGUGUGCGUAAUUCUGCAACACUGGACGAGGGGGGAUUCCGCCCCUCCAUCCCACAACCCCCUCCCAAAAUCUGGCAGGCACACAGUCACAGGUGCUCGAAUCUCAUUGGCUGUUUAUUUCCCACAAAAAUUGUAUUAGGUUUCACCUUUAUCCAUCCAAGAUUUGCUGAGCUCACAAGCUAUUUUACAGAAACACUCUGCUUCACAUUUUUAUGCACAUUCACACCUGUUAUGACGAUGGUUGCUGUGGGGACAAUAUUACUUAUUCAUGGACCGGCAGUCAUACUUCUACAUACUCACUCACACACGCACAUGCAGCUACAAUUUCUGAUAAUAUUAGGAAGUUAGGCAGCCGUUCUUUAACCGCCCAUGGGUAAUCAGUAUGACCUAUGGGAGCAUAUUGGUAUGAAUGCAUUGCAGUCACGAUAUUCAACAGCUGAAUAAUAAAUAGCCCCUCACCACGGAGGCGUACAUUUUCUGCAGAGCAUGGGACCCAAAAUUCAGAAACGUAUAAAUAAGAGAGGAUUCUACUCGACAUAUUUUACUUCUAGUGGAAAUAAAACGUCCUCACAUUUCAGAGUGACACAUGCGCAGUUCAUAAGCACCUGUGCAGCAAGCGGGCUAAAAUUGUCUGAGGAACCCACCCUCUUCAUUCAAGGUGUGCAUGGACAAAAGCUGUACUUAAAAGUUGCACAACAUGACCAAACUGUGUGCACUCAGACAUGACUAAUGUUGAGAAAUGUGUGUCAAAAAUAGCACGCUUUUAAAUGCGGGAGUAUGUGUCAUAGUGUGUCAUGGAAUUACUUAAUGCUGAACAUCAGUGGGAUCAGAUGGUUAAAAUGCCAUGUUGCUAAUAGUAAAAAGUCUACGAUCCAUAUUGCACCUAUUAAUUUGAUUAAUGGGAAAUUAUUUAUUGUACUUUUAUUAUCAUUUGGCCAUUUAAAUAUGUGCCAAGAGUAAAGCAAAUCGAACCAAUGCUUAAGUGUAACACAAGGUGCUACUCGUGGUGCUUGUUCACAAGUGAAAGAAUUCUGGUGACGUACUAGAUUAUGCAAUGUGCCUUGAUUACACAUAAAGUGAAAGAAAAGUAAUUGUGAACAUCAAGAAGACAAACGACCAGAUCCAGAGGCUCGCAGCAGGACUGAAUCUCCAGAGAGACAAGACUCGGAGGAAGAGUAAGAGGGCUCAGACAGACAGAGAGGUGGGAGGCCCAGGCAACACGAAUUUGAAAACUACGAAUGUGUUCGGUCCCUUCCAGGCUGACUGCUACACUGUACCCAUACCAGACAUUCCAGAGGCAGCGUGGCUGGCUUCAGGCUCUGAGUGGCUGAUCCUGGAACAGCAUGUUCCGCAGAGCAGUAAUCACCUCAGCCAGCCACAAGCAAGGCAGAGCACCACAUCAACAACAGGGCAGAGCUUUGUGCCUGUCAAUUUGUACCCUGAAAAAGUGGUCUGGAAUUUCAUUCGCAUUAGGAAAGGGACGCAUUUUUUUUCGCCCAUUUCUGCAAGGCCCGACCUCUCAUUUCCAUAGCCCCGCCACUUAAGACGCAACCUCAUGAUGUUGUGCAAUUUAUCCCUGCACAGUGGGAUUAGGACGAGAGGAAGCUGGAGAUGCCUGUCUGGGAAAACACCUCCCCUGGUCACCCCCUCCCCUCUCCCUCUCAGCAAACAACCCACACUCUCUAACAAGCAUAUGGGCUCCCAAUGACACAUGGAGGAGAGGGCUCAAAUCCAAGUAUUGGGAACGUUCCUGAGUAGGCGAAGCUGGAUUUCACCCCUUCGUGGCAUUGGCCCAAAGUAGGCUGACUUAAAAACUUCCUGCCCAAGCAAGAGCCAGCUUUCUGUGGCAUCUUGGCAUCUGCGCUGCCAACUAUGAACAUUAUGUUCAGAGGCAGCAAAGACAAUUGGUGCCAAGACUUUUAAUUAAGAUUGUGUUGUGGAAUGGAAAGCAAAGGCAUGUACAGGUAAUGGCUUCUAUUCGCAUUUCAAAGGUCUAACGAAAUAUGAUUAACUAACACUAUCUACCUUUGCCAAUUCAUUAUAUUUAACAGUUAAAGACCCAGAACAACCAAUUGGCCCAAGUAAGAAAAUCUGUGUGCGCUGCUCUCAUACCCAAAAGAGCAGCGAGCAUAAUUGUAUUAUAAUAAACUGAUGAUGUCAAAGAUGCUUAAAGACAGUAGGAGCAAGUGGAUGGUAUGAUGCCCUGAAAUAGUGCACUCCGAAUCAAGGUGUCUACAGUAUAGUUCCAGCUUCUCCGAUGUGAGGAUUUGCUGCUUUUCUCUUAUUGUUGGUUAUAAAACAACAUGCAAUAUGAUUACAUCAUCUUGGGCUCUGGGAACUUAUAAGGCACUCAAUUAAUUGAAAAAAUAAAAGGUAGAUUGACUGAUAAUGAAAAUAACUGUUUGUUGCAGUCAUGAACCACAUGAUGUUCUGUAGGGCCUACCAAAACAAGCAAUUUCAAGACUGGGCUCAAUUACAUUUUUCAAAAUAUUCAAAUGAAAUGAUAAAAUGUGUUGAAAGAGGGUGUCACUCUAGUCUCAAUUUCUUGAAAUAAACCAUGCAGAAUAUCAUAUUGCCUCCAGCAAUGAGUUAAAUCCCUCACUUGUGCAAGUCAGUGGUUGGCUACAUCACACAGGCCUGAUGCCAAGAUACUGAUUAGCCUAGCUAUGCCUUUGUUCUCCAGGCAAUGCGGAAUGGAGGUGCAGUGGGAGUCCAGCUCAUCACCAAAGAGCACUGUGCUAAACACAAGCUUAAGUGGAAGAAAGCCAGCAUACUGUAGUUUAUCCAUGCUGGACAUAUAAAGCCUUGGGCAAGGAGGCAUCUGCCUCUUUAAUACAUAAUUCACUCAGAGCUGAAACAUCAUGCUUUAGUCCUAAGGGCCAGUAGUCUACUUCUGGUUGUUGGAACAUAAAACUGUCUCCAACAGAUAAUCUGGUCUCAUUGACGGGCAACUUCGUGUACUAAGAAUCAAACUACAAAAGUAGGUUCAAUUUGAGCACAGAUCGGAUUUGCCUUCAAAACAUACAAAUUGAAGAAUCCAUAAGCAAUAUAAUUUACAGUAUAUUAAGAUGUUCAAAGGGUGGUUUUCAUGGUGCAGCACAUGUAUGUAGAAGCAAUGUCAUCUCACCUUUCCACCUUAUCAGCCUUGAUAUGCAGGUAGGUCAACAUGUAGAGACAGCCAUCUGCCCUCAAGCUCUCCCUUCAGACAUGCUCAUGGUCACUUUACAUCACAACCCCGGCAAAUGCAUCUUCCUCUAGAGGUAUUAUUAGAAGCACUCCUGUCUUACAGCCCACAUUAUUAUCAUAACUGACAGGAUGUGCAUUAGAUACUUCAGUCUCCGCAGCAGAUUGGCCAUAAUGUUGACUCACUAGUAUACAGGCCAUUUUGGAAUUCAGAAGAAACUGAAGCAGCUGUAGUGCUUUCAUGUGUAAUAGUCCCAGCUCAAGUUCCCACGAAAGAGGCACUAAUGGGUUAACAGUAGAAAUGAGAGGGAAGAGAGGGAAAAUCAAUGCUUUUGUUGAGGGGAAGAAAGAAAGCCUUUCACAGGUCUAUGUAUCAUUAAGCAAUUGAGAAAGCUAAUUAGAGUGGGGGGGAAAGAUGUGCAGAUCUCACAGCUAAUUAUUUCCAUGGCAACCACAGCUCCUGUAGACGAUCUGAGGUAGCAUUCAGCUGGCAAAACAGCCAGUUACACGAAGAGCAAGAGAGACCCCUAGUGGGAUAAAAUGAACAUCCUCAUGAGAAGAUGUACAAUCAACAUAUCAAUAAGAAAAACUAAUAGUGUUAAAGGUAGAAUGCAAAUCAUAAAACAUUUUAAAAUGUGACUUCAGUAGAAAAUAAACAGGUCUUUGUAUAAAAUACAUCAUACUCUGGGAAAAAACUCUAUGUUGAACUGAUGGAAAUAUAAACUGAUAAAAAACCUUAUGUUUCUUUAGUUAAUCCUGCCUUAUAGAGGGAAAUAAAUCUUUUUUUUAAAUAUAUAAAUCAAAAAGCAUAAUCAAGAAUUUGUUAAACUUAAACAUAUUAAAAUUCCAGGAGCCACACUAAGAACUAUAUGUCAUGUAAAAAUCUAUUAUUAGUAUGACAAAUAUCACUUUAUGUACUGUAUUGUAUGUUUUUUUAGCAAUACUGUAUAGGGGUCAUUCUUUUUACAGCUUUACACUCAAUGCAGGCACUGGCUUCUUACCUUUCAUCUAUUUAUUCCCAAACACACCACUAUUGUUUCUUCUGUAAACAUAGCAAACUCCACAGUGUAGGAGAGGGUUUUACUGCAGGAGUCCCCUUAGGGGUACUAAAAAUGUAAAAACUUAAAUGAACUAGCAAUGAGUUUAACCAAAACUGUGCGGUAUUAAUUGAUUAAAGAGUGAUAAGGUUACCAUGUCAAAACGUCGUGUAACGAUGCUUUGGUGGAAUGCAGUAAUAUUGUGUAGUAAUUGUAGAGACAUUUUCCAGCUCACAUAAACUGACGAGAAGACGUGUAACUGUAAGUCAAAGUUGCACUGUAUUUAAUUUUAGGUAAAAUGUAAAUAU